CGAAAGUCAGAGGUUCGAAGGCGAUCAGAUACCGCCCUAGUUCUGACCGUAAACGAUGCCAACUAGCGAUCCGCCGAUGGAACACUUGCCAUGGUGGGGAGCUUCCCGGAAACGAAAGUCUUCCGGUUCCGGGGGAAGUAUGGUUGCAAAGCUGAAACUUAAAGGAAUUGACGGAAGGGCACCACCAGGAGUGGAGCCUGCGGCUUAAUUUGACUCAACACGGGGAAACUCACCCGGCCCGGACACCGUGAGGAUUGACAGAUUGAUAGCUUUUUCAUGAUUCGGUGGAUGGUGGUGCAUGGCCGUUCUUAGUUCGUGGAGCGAUUUGUCUGGUUUAUUCCGAUAACGAGCGAGACUCUGGCCUACUAACUAGUCUGGGCAUUGUCACUGUGCCUAGCACUUCUUAGAGGGAUUUUCGGUGUUCAGCCGCACGAAAUUGAGCAAUAACAGGUCUGUGAUGCCCUUAGAUGUCCGGGGCUGCACGCGCGCUACACUGGCAAAAUCAACGUGCCUGUCCUUUGCCGAAAGGCAUUGGUAAACCCGUGAAAAUUUGCCGUGAUUGGGAUCGGAAAUUGCAAUUAUUUUCCGUGAACGAGGAAUUCCAAGUAAGUGCGAGUCAUCAACUCGCGUUGAUUACGUCCCUGCCCUUUGUACACACC
rnacentral:rRNA from 1 species